UUGAUCCUGGCUCAGGAUGAACGCUAGCGGCAGGCUUAACACAUGCAAGUCGAGGGGUAUAGUUCUUCGGAGCUAGAGACCGGCGCACGGGUGCGUAACGCGUAUGCAAUCUACCUUUUGCAGAGGGAUAGCCCAGAGAAAUUUGGAUUAAUACCUCAUAGUAUGUGAGAAUGGCAUCAUUUUCACAUUAAAGUCACAACGGCAAAAGAUGAGCAUGCGUCCCAUUAGCUUGUUGGUAAGGUAACGGCUUACCAUGGCGACGAUGGGUAGGGGUCCUGAGAGGGAGAUCCCCCACACUGGUACUGAGACACGGACCAGACUCCUACGGGAGGCAGCAGUGAGGAAUAUUGGACAAUGGGCGCAAGCCUGAUCCAGCCAUGCCGCGUGCAGGAUGACGGUCCUAUGGAUUGUAAACUGCUUUUGUACAGGAAGAAACACUCCCUCGUGAGGGAGCUUGACGGUACUGUAAGAAUAAGGAUCGGCUAACUCCGUGCCAGCAGCCGCGGUAAU
rnacentral:rRNA from 1 species